GUCCAGACUCCUACGGGAGGCAGCAGUGAGGAAUAUUGGGCAAUGGGCGCAAGCCUGACCCAGCAACGCCGCGUGAAGGAAGAAGGCCCUCGGGUUGUAAACUUCUUUUGUCAGGGACGAAGAAAGUGACGGUACCUGGGGAGGAAGCUCCGGCUAACUACGUGCCAGCAGCCGCGGUAAUACGUAGGGAGCGAGCGUUGUCCGGAAUUACUGGGUGUAAAGGGAGCGUAGGCGGGGAUGCAAGUUGGGUGUCAAAACUACCGGCUCAACUGGUAGUCGCACUCAAAACUGCAGCUCUUGAGUGAAGUAGAGGCAGGCGGAAUUCCUAGUGUAGCGGUGAAAUGCGUAGAUAUUAGGAGGAACACCAGUGGAGAAGGCGGCCUGCUGGGCUUUUACUGACGCUGAGGCUCGAAAGUGUGGGGAGCAAACAGGAUUAGAUACCCCAGUACAU
rnacentral:rRNA from 1 species